rnacentral:rRNA from 1 species
CCUACGGGCGGCUGCAGUGGGGAAUAUUGGACAAUGGGCGAAAGCCUGAUCCAGCCAUGCCGCGUGUGUGAAGAAGGCCUUCGGGUUGUAAAGCACUUUCAGUGGGGAAGAAAGCCUUGGGGCUAAUACCCUCGAGGAAGGACAUCACCCACAGAAGAAGCACCGGCUAACUCCGUGCCAGCAGCCGCGGUAAUACGGAGGGUGCGAGCGUUAAUCGGAAUUACUGGGCGUAAAGCGCGCGUAGGCGGUCUGAUAAGCCGGUUGUGAAAGCCCCGGGCUCAACCUGGGAACGGCAUCCGGAACUGUCAGGCUAGAGUGCAGGAGAGGAAGGUAGAAUUCCCGGUGUAGCGGUGAAAUGCGUAGAGAGCGGGAGGAAUACCAGUGGCGAAGGCGGCCUUCUGGACUGACACUGACGCUGAGGUGCGAAAGCGUGGGUAGCAAACAGGAUUAGAUACCCUAGUAGUC